CUCGUUUUCCUGGCACUAUAGUGCCCUGAGGGUGCCCCCACCCUCAGGGACCCCCUCCCGCCCGGCUCUGGAAGGGGGAAAGGGGUAAAAACUUACCUUUUUCCAGCGCUGGGCGGAGAGCUCUCCUCCCCCUCUCCGCCUCCGUUACGCCCCGCCGGCUGAAUGCGCACGCGCGGCAAGAGCUGCGCGCGCAUUCAGCCCGUCGCAUAGGAAAGCAUUUACAAUGCUUUCCUAUGGACGCUUGCGUGCUCUCACU